CCAGACUCCUACGGGAGGCAGCAGUCGGGAAUAUUGCGCAAUGGAGGAAACUCUGACGCAGUGACGCCGCGUAUAGGAAGAAGGUUUUCGGAUUGUAAACUAUUGUCCACAGGGAAGAAAAAAGACUGUACCUGUGAAGAAAGCUCCGGCUAACUACGUGCCAGCAGCCGCGGUAAUACGUAGGGGGCAAGCGUUAUCCGGAUUUACUGGGUGUAAAGGAAGCGUAGACGGUUGUAUAAGUCUGGAGUGAAAGCCCGGGGCCCAACCCCGGGACUGCUUUGGAAACUGUGUAACUUGAGUACAGGAGGGGCAGGCGGAAUUCCUGGUGUAGCGGUGAAAUGCGUAGAUAUCAGGAGGAACACCGGCGGCGAAGGCGGCCUGCUGGACUGAAACUGACGUUGAGGCUCGAAAGCGUGGGGAGCAAACAGGAUUAGAUACCCCAGUA
rnacentral:rRNA from 1 species